rnacentral:rRNA from 1 species
GUAGGUGGCAAGCGUUGUCCGGAAUUAUUGGGCGUAAAGCGCACGCAGGCGGUCCUUUAAGUCUGAUGUGAAAGCCCACGGCUCAACCGUGGAGGGUCAUUGGAAACUGGGGGACUUGAGUACAGAAGAGGAAAGCGGAAUUCCAAGUGUAGCGGUGAAAUGCGUAGAGAUUUGGAGGAACACCAGUGGCGAAGGCGGCUUUCUGGUCUGUAACUGACGCUGAGGCGCGAAAGCGUGGGGAGCAAACAGGGAUUAGAUACCCUGGUAGUCCACGCCGUAAACGAUGAGUGCUAAGUGUUAGGGGGUUUCCCGCCCCUUAGUGCUGCAGCUAACGCAUUAAGCACUCCGCCUGGGGAUACGGCCGCAAGGCUG